CGAAGAUCAUUUGUUCGUUUAUUAGUCCUGUAUAUAAGAUGCACAUCAGGACACAGCUCUAUUAUGUCUCUGAUGAAGUGGGGCUGACACCCACGAAACGCGUAAGACAAGCAGUGAGCAGGAUACGAAUACAGUUUGAAGCCGGCAGAAGGAACUCCUCUUCUCCCCGCACAUCAUCUAUGAUCUGGGGACCGACGGACUGUCAGUAUCUACCAUCCAAAGUGAGGUUUGGGACGCACGCCAACCUCACAGACAGCCGUCAAGUACAGCAAUUUCUCUUUGAUACAAAGUAUCCACUGUAAUCCUAAGC